UUACUGCUCAGUAACACGUCGUUAAUCUGCCCUAAGGUCAGGGAUACCUACGGGAAACUGUGGUUAAUACCUGAUAAGGAACACAUACUGGAAUGUAGUGUUCUCCAAACUCGAGCCUUAGGAUGAGACGGCGGCCGAUUAGGCUGUUGGCGGUGUAACGGACCACCAAACCGAAGAUCGGUACGGGCCAUGAGAGUGGUAGCCCGGAGAGGGACACUGAGAUACUGGUCCCAGCCCUACGGGGUGCAGCAGGCGCGAAACCUCUACAAUGCGCGCAAGCGUGAUAGGGGGAUCCCGAGUGCUCAAGUAAUGCUUGGGCUUUUGCUUAGUGUAAAUAGCUAGGCGAAUAAGUGGUGGGAAAGACUGGUGCCAGCCGCCGCGGUAACACCAGCGCCACGAGUGGCAAUCACGUUUAUUGGGCCUAAAGCGUCCGUAGCAGGUUUUGUAAAUCUUUUGUGAAAUUGCCAGGCUUAACUUGGCAGUGUGCAGGAGACACUGCAAAACUUGAGACCGGGAGGGGUCAGAGGUAUCCCUGAGGGAGCGGUAAAAUGCUAUAAUCUUAGGAGGACCACCGGUGGCGAAGGCGUCUGACUAGAACGGAUCUGACUGUGAGGGACGAAAGCUAGGGGAGCGAACCGGAUUAGAUACCCGAGUAGUCCUAGCCGUAAACGCUGUGAGCUAGGUGUCGCGUAUUCUACGGGAAUGCGCGGUGUCGUAAGGAAGCUACUAAGCUCACCGCCUGGGAAGUACGGUCGCAAGACUGAAACUUUAAGGAAUUGGCGGGGGAGCACAAG
rnacentral:rRNA from 1 species